AGUGAACGCUGGCGGCAGGCCUAACACAUGCAAGUCGAGCGGCAGCGGGUUCCCGCGAGGGGAUGCCGGCGAGCGGCGGACGGGUGAGGAACACAUCGGAAUCUGCCUGGUUGUGGGGGAUAACGUAGGGAAACUUACGCUAAUACCGCAUGCGACCCUGAGUCGACGGACUGGGGGUGAAAGUGAGGGACCUUCGGGCCUCACGCGACCAGAUGAGCCGAUGUCGGAUAGCUAGUUGGCGGGUAACGGCCCGCCAAGGCGACGAUCCGUAGCUGGUCUGAGAGGAUGAUCAGCCACACUGGGACUGAGACACGGCCCAGACUCCUACGGGAGGCAGCAGUGGGGAAUCUUGGACAAUGGGCGCAAGCCUGAUCCAGCCAUGCCGCGUGGGUGAAGGAA
rnacentral:rRNA from 1 species